ACUCAAAGGAAUUGACGGGGACCCGCACAAGCGGUGGAGCAUGUGGUUUAAUUCGACGCAACGCGAAGAACCUUACCUGGGUUAAAUCAAGGGUGUAAGGCUGAGAGAUCAGUCCCCCGGGCAACCGGCGUCCUUGAAGGUGCUGCAUGGCUGUCGUCAGCUCGUGUCGUGAGAUGUUGGGUUAAGUCCCGCAACGAGCGCAACCCUUACCACUAGUUGCCAGCAUUUAGUUGGGCACUCUAGCGGAACUGCCGGUGAUAAACCGGAGGAAGGUGGGGAUGACGUCAAGUCAUCAUGGCCUCUAUGUCCAGGGCUACACACGUGCUACAAUGGCCGGUACAAAACGCUGCGAACUCGCGAGAGGGAGCCAAUCGGAAAAAGCCGGUCUCAGUUCGGAUUGGAGUCUGCAACUCGACUCCAUGAAGUUGGAAUCGCUAGUAAUCGCAGAUCAGCACGCUGCGGUGAAUACGUUCCCGGGUCUUGUACACACCGCCCGU
rnacentral:rRNA from 1 species